rnacentral:rRNA from 1 species
AGUGGGGGAUAACGUAGCGAAAGUUACGCUAAUACCGCAUAUGCCCUGAGGGGGAAAGGAGGGGAUCGUAAGACCUUUCGCUUUCGGAGUGGCCGAUAUCAGAUUAGCUAGUUGGUGAGGUAAAGGCUCACCAAGGCGACGAUCUGUAGCGGGUCUGAGAGGAUGAUCCGCCACACUGGGACUGAGACACGGCCCAGACUCCUACGGGAGGCAGCAGUGGGGAAUUUUGGACAAUGGGCGCAAGCCUGAUCCAGCCAUGCCGCGUGAGUGAAGAAGGCCUUCGGGUUGUAAAGCUCUUUCAGCCGGAAAGAAAUCAUGCUUACUAAUACUAAGUGUGGAUGACGGUACCGGAAGAAGAAGCACCGGCUAACUACGUGCCAGCAGCCGCGGUAAUACGUAGGGUGCGAGCGUUAAUCGGAAUUACUGGGCGUAAAGCGUGCGCAGGCGGUUUUGUAAGACAGACGUGAAAUCCCCGGGCUUAACCUGGGAACUGCGUUUGUGACUGCAAGGCUAGAGUAUGGCAGAGGGGGGUAGAAUUCCA